rnacentral:lncRNA from 1 species
AUCCACUCGGGUAAAUGUGACACUUUUCUAUUGCCCCUUUGAUUUCAAAAGACUCGAGCUUUACCUUUGCAUGCCUUAAAUCUGUGUUGUUCAUAAAUCUCAAACUGCAUUCAAAUAAUUUAUAUCUCUUCCUAUGUUUUUGUAGCAAACCGAAUUCAAGUCAUUUAGUCUCUGAGGCAUCUAUUUGGAGGUGCUUCUUUGGAUCAAAAAUUGCAAGAACAAGAUUAUUUCAAUUUAUUCAAGGCUUUGGUGUCUGGAAUUCAAUGAUCACUUUUAAAUCAUUUCCAUCACACGUAUUAUCAUCCUUACAAAUCGUCUACCCGACGAAAUUGAUAUCUUCACUUACAAAUAGGAACUUCUCCUUACUUAAGGUAAUACCUUACACUCGAAACCUUAACAAAAUCUUCCAAACACUCUCCACGUGCUCCUCAAAACUUUCAUUAUUCACUUCGACAUUAUGGACAACUUUUUGAGCGUUACGAAUUCCUUCUAAGGCUUGGUCUUUCCUAAAACUGUAUGCAUCACCACUUGGCAUUUGAAAAUGUGUUAUGAGCAACAGAAAAGCCCAAGGCUCGGCUCCACAUAAACGAUGACAAGGGCUUCACAGCACAACUUCAAAAUAUCGGUAAAUCUAAUUUUUUACGACGCUCCAUGCAAAGACUGUGGGAUAACUUUUAAUUCUACUAUUCAUGCCUUUGUUAUUUGUUUUCAUUUCGGAUUUUAAAGGAAGUCAUAUCAUUGAAUGUCAACGGGGAAGAAAACAUCGAAUCGAAUGUAGUAAAAGUGUUUAUAUUGUUUGAAGUAUCAAAUAGUCGGACUUCCACUGAUAAUAUUAAGGCAUUGUAUUUUGCUUUCUCUAAUGUUAAAGUCCUUACUGUACAAGUUAUGCACCUAUCAGCCACGGGAAGCUCCAGAAUUACGAACAAUUUCAAUAUCUGCUGCAGGGCACUCAGCCUUUUCUUUUAGGAUUCCAAAUGUGUCGGAUUAGGGAUAGAGCCGAUUUCAUACGAUCCUACCCAUAAAUAUCAGCAGGAUAUUUGAAUACUUUGAAAAUAAUUUUUAAGUCUUUGGAAACUUUUGGAAAGUAAUUGUUUUGAAUGUGAAUUUUAGACUCUUGACUCCGUUUUUUGUUUUUUUCUAA